rnacentral:rRNA from 1 species
GAGUUUGAUCAUGGCUCAGAUUGAACGCUGGCGGUAGGCUUAACACAUGCAAGUCGUGCGAGAAAGUAUCUUCGGAUAUGAGUAGAGCGGCGGACGGGUGAGUAACGCGUAGGAAUCUACCUAGUAGAAGGGGAUAGCCCGGGGAAACCCGGAUUAAUACCGUAUACCUCCUUCGGGAGAAAGAAGGCCUCUCUUUGAAGCUUUCGCUACUAGAUGAGCCUGCGUAAGAUUAGCUUGUUGGUGAGGUAAAGGCUCACCAAGGCGACGAUCUUUAGCUGGUCUGAGAGGACGAUCAGCCACAUUGGGACUGAGACACGGCCCAAACUCCUACGGGAGGCAGCAGUGGGGAAUCUUGCACAAUGGAGGAAACUCUGAUGCAGCGAUGCCGCGUGAGUGAAGAAGGCCCUUGGGUUGUAAAGCUCUUUCGUCGGGGAAGAAAAUGACUGUACCCGAAUAAGAAGGUCCGGCUAACUUCGUGCCAGCAGCCGCGGUAAUACGAAGGGACCUAGCGUAGUUCGGAAUUACUGGGCUUAAAGAGUUCGUAGGUGGUUGAAAAAGUUAGUGGUGAAAUCCCAGAGCUUAACUCUGGAACUGCCAUUAAAACUUUUCAGCUAGAGUAUGAUAGAGGAAAGCAGAAUUUCUAGUGUAGAGGUGAAAUUCGUAGAUAUUAGAAAGAAUACCAAUUGCGAAGGCAGCUUUCUGGAUCAUUACUGACACUGAGGAACGAAAGCAUGGGUAGCGAAGAGGAUUAGAUACCCUCGUAGUCCAUGCCGUAAACGAUGUGUGUUAGACGUUGGAAAUUUAUUUUCAGUGUCGCAGGGAAACCGAUAAACACACCGCCUGGGGAGUACGACCGCAAGGUUAAAACUCAAAUGAAUUGACGGGGACCCGCACAAGUAGUGGAGCAUGUGGUUUAAUUCGAAGAUACGCGCAGAACCUUACCAACACUUGACAUGUUCGUCGCGACUCUAAGAGAUUAGAGUUUUCGGUUCGGCCGGACGAAACACAGGUGCUGCAUGGCUGUCGUCAGCUCGUGUCGUGAGAUGUUCGGUUAAGUCCGGCAACGAGCGCAACCCACGUCCUUAGUUACCAGCAUUUAGUUGGGUACCCUAAGGAGACUGCCGGUGAUAAGCCGGAGGAGGGUGUGGACGACGUCAAGUCAUCAUGGCCCUUACGGGUUGGGCUACACACGUGCUACAAUGGCAUCUACAGUGAGUUAAUCUCCAAAAGAUGUCUCAGUUCGGAUUGGGGUCUGCAACUCGACCCCAUGAAGUUGGAAUCGCUAGUAAUCGCGGAACAGCAUGCCGCGGUGAAUACGUUCCCGGGCCUUGUACACACCGCCCGUCACACCAUGGGAAUUGGGUCUACCCGAAGGUGGUGCGCCAACUAUUUAUAGGGGCAGCCAACCACGGUAGGUUCAGUGACUGGGGUGAAGUCGUAACAAGGUAACC